GCCCAGGUGGUGGAAUGGUAGACGCUGAGGACUUAAAAUCCUUUGUCCGAAAGGACGUGCGGGUUCGAGUCCCGCCUUGGGCA
rnacentral:tRNA from 1 species